AGAAAGAGGAUCACACUUCCUUAUAUAAACACCACGUCGGAAAUGACAGCUAGCCUUCUCAGACCGUUCAACAUCGACAUUGCACACAAACCAACAUGUAAACUUAGAUCCAAGUUCACUAAUCAUAAAGACAAAACAAACGUAACCGAAAAACAUAACGCCAUUUACAUGUUUACUUGCAAAAACUGCCCCGACAAGUACAUUGGACAAACGUCUAAGAAAAUUCGGACCAGAUUAACCGAACAUCAAAACGCCAUUAACAGACACGACCAUAAUUCACUCCCAGUGCACGCAGACGAUAACGGACACAAAUUUGACUGGUCUCAAACGAGAUGCCUAGGACAAGCUACUACGAAACAUGCCCGUGAGUUUAAAGAAGCGUGGCAUAGUAUAGAUAAACUAACAUUUACGAUGAUUGCAAUCACCCGCACUCCAUGGCAACCAAUAACAAUCCAUCAGCCGAAAUGCGUGAUCAACCAAUCAGACGUUCCCAAAGGCUUCAAGAACGAGAACAGCGCGAAAAUUCAAACAUUCCAACUUUCUGAUGAAGGCUCGAAGUACCGAGUCGAAAGCUCAAAACAUUUAAACUAGAAUCCAGAGAACUAAAUAAUUUGUAGAAUUA